rnacentral:rRNA from 1 species
UGGGGAAUAUUGCACAAUGGGGGAAACCCUGAUGCAGCGACGCCGCGUGAACGAAGAAGGUAUUCGUAUCGUAAAGUUCUGUCCUAUGGGAAGAUAAUGACAGUACCAUAGAAGAAAGCUCCGGCUAAAUACGUGCCAGCAGCCGCGGUAAUACGUAUGGAGCGAGCGUUGUCCGGAAUUAUUGGGCGUAAAGGGUACGCAGGCGGUUUAAUAAGUCGAAUGUUAAAGAUCGGGGCUCAACCCCGCAAAGCAUUGGAAACUGAUAAACUUGAGGAGUGGAGAGGAAAGUGGAAUUCCUAGUGUAGUGGUGAAAUACGUAGAUAUUAGGAGGAAUACCAGUAGCGAAGGCGACUUUCUGGACACAAACUGACGCUGAGGUACGAAAGCGUGGGGAGCAAAUAGG